rnacentral:rRNA from 1 species
GACGAACGCUGGCGGCGUGCCUAAUACAUGCAAGUUGAGCGCUGAAGGUUGGUACUUGUACCAACUGGAUGAGCAGCGAACGGGUGAGUAACGCGUGGGGAAUCUGCCUUUGAGCGGGGGACAACAUUUGGAAACGAAUGCUAAUACCGCAUAAAAACUUUAAACACAAGUUUUAAGUUUGAAAGAUGCAAUUGCAUCACUCAAAGAUGAUCCCGCGUUGUAUUAGCUAGUUGGUGAGGUAAAGGCUCACCAAGGCGAUGAUACAUAGCCGACCUGAGAGGGUGGUCGGCCACAUUGGGACGGAGGCACGGCCCAAACGACUACGGGAGGCAGCAGUAGGGAAUCUUCGGCAAUGGAUGAAAGUCUGACCGAGCCACGGCGCGUGAGGGAAGAAGGGUGUCGGAUCGUAACACUCUGUUGGUAGAGAAGAACGGUGGUGAGAGUGGAAAGCUCAUCAAGUGACGGUAACUACACAGAAAGGGACGGCUAACUACGUG